AUGCAGAGUCUGACGGAGCACGCCGCGUGAGUGAUGAAGGUUUUCGGAUCGUAAAGCUCUGUUGUUAGGGAAGAACAAGUACCGUUCGAAUAGGGCGGUACCUUGACGGUACCUAACCAGAAAGCCACGGCUAACUACGUGCCAGCAGCCGCGGUAAUACGUAGGUGGCAAGCGUUGUCCGGAAUUAUUGGGCGUAAAGGGCUCGCAGGCGGUUUCUUAAGUCUGAUGUGAAAGCCCCCGGCUCAACCGGGGAGGGUCAUUGGAAACUGGGGAACUUGAGUGCAGAAGAGGAGAGUGGAAUUCCACGUGUAGCGGUGAAAUGCGUAGAGAUGUGGAGGAACACCAGUGGCGAAGGCGACUCUCUGGUCUGUAACUGACGCUGAGGAGCGAAAGCGUGGGGAGCGAACAGGAUUAGAUACCCUAGUAGUCAGG
rnacentral:rRNA from 1 species